rnacentral:rRNA from 1 species
UACGUAGGGCGCAAGCGUUGUCCGGAAUUAUUGGGCGUAAAGAGCUCGUAGGCGGUUUGUCGCGUCUGCUGUGAAAACCUAAGGCUCAACCUUGGGCUUGCAGUGGGUACGGGCAGACUAGAGUGCGGUAGGGGUGACUGGAAUUCCUGGUGUAGCGGUGGAAUGCGCAGAUAUCAGGAGGAACACCGCCGGCGAAGGCAGCUUACUGGGCCGAUACUGACGCUGAGGAGCGAAAGCGUGGGGAGCGAACAGG